rnacentral:rRNA from 1 species
GAUGAACGCUGGCGGCGUGCCUAAUACAUGCAAGUCGAGCGAACGGACGAGAAGCUUGCUUCUCUGAUGUUAGCGGCGGACGGGUGAGUAACACGUGGAUAACCUACCUAUAAGACUGGGAUAACUUCGGGAAACCGGAGCUAAUACCGGAUAAUAUUUUGAACCGCAUGGUUCAAAAGUGAAAGACGGUCUUGCUGUCACUUAUAGAUGGAUCCGCGCUGCAUUAGCUAGUUGGUAAGGUAACGGCUUACCAAGGCAACGAUGCAUAGCCGACCUGAGAGGGUGAUCGGCCACACUAGAACUGAGACACGGUCCAGACUCCUACGGGAGGCAGCAGUAGGGAAUCUUCCGCAAUGGGCGAAAGCCUGACGGAGCAACGCCGCGUGAGUGAUGAAGGUUUUCGGAUCGUAAAACUCUGUUAUUAGGGAAGAACAUAUGUGUAAGUAACUGUGCACAUCUUGACGGUACCUAAUCAGAAAGCCACGGCUAACUACGUG